rnacentral:lncRNA from 1 species
GAAAACAUGGCAGCUGAAAACAAGUCAGAAAGAGAGGGCUUGCGGUUCAAUUAUCUAUAGAGAUAUACAGCAGUUGGCGGUUGGAAUUUAAAAAAGACUCACAUUGAAAAGGCUGCUUUGGGGAGUGUAUGCAUAUAUAUAGCACUGCCCGUUAGGGGGAAAGUGAGAAUAAAUUGAAUAAAAGUUGGGUUUGCUUUCGAG